rfam:Ovis aries breed Texel chromosome 2, whole genome shotgun sequence.
CCCCUGGUGGCCCAGUGGUUAGGACUUGGCACUUUCACUGCAGUGGCCCGGGUUCAAUCCCUGGUUGGGGAA